rnacentral:rRNA from 1 species
GGUGAACGCUGGCGGCGUGCUUAACACAUGCAAGUCGAACGAAGCACUUUAUUUGAUUUCCUUCGGGACUGAUUAUUUUGUGACUGAGUGGCGGACGGGUGAGUAACGCGUGGGUAACCUGCCUUGUACAGGGGGAUAACAGUUGGAAACGGCUGCUAAUACCGCAUAAGCGCACGGCAUCGCAUGAUGCAGUGUGAAAAACUCCGGUGGUAUAAGAUGGACCCGCGUUGGAUUAGCUAGUUGGUGAGGUAACGGCCCACCAAGGCGACGAUCCAUAGCCGACCUGAGAGGGUGACCGGCCACAUUGGGACUGAGACACGGCCCAAACUCCUACGGGAGGCAGCAGUGGGGAAUAUUGCACAAUGGGCGAAAGCCUGAUGCAGCGACGCCGCGUGAGCGAAGAAGUAUUUCGGUAUGUAAAGCUCUAUCAGCAGGGAAGAUAAUGACGGUACCUGACUAAGAAGCACCGGCUAAAUACGUG